GUUUCAAAUUACAGCGAGAAGCGACUCCGAGAAGCUCAUAAGAUGCUCAAGAAAAGAGGUAUUCCACUAGCUUCAAACCAGGUGAAUUAUAGCCUCAUAUACAGACUACCAGAAGAGAACGGUGUGAAGGCCACCUGUGACGAACUUGGAAUCACCUUAAUUGCUUAUUCGCCUAUUGCUCAAGGUGUUCUUACGGGAAAAUACACUCCCGCAAAUCCUCCAACUGGUCCUCGAGGUCGAAUAUAUACUCCAGAGUUUUUAACCAAGCUCCAACCUCUUCUGAAUCGGAUACGUGACAUAGGACAGAACUACAAUAAAACACCCACACAGGUUG
rnacentral:misc_RNA from 1 species